UACGGGAGCAGCAGUGGGGAAUAUUGCACAAUGGGCGAAAGCCUGAUGCAGCUAUGCCGCGUGUAUGAAGAAGGCCUUAGGGUUGUAAAGUACUUUCAUCGGGGAGGAAAAACAAAACUAAUAAUUUUAUUUCUUGACGUUACCCGAAAAAGAAGCACCGGCUAACUCCGUGCCAGCAGCCGCGGUAAUACGGAGGGUGCUAGCGUUAAUCAGAAUUACUGGGCGUAAAGAGCACGUAGGUGGUUUUUUUAAGUCAGAUGUGAAAUCCCUGGGCUUAACCUAGGAACUGCAUUUUGAAACUGAAAUACUAGAGUAUCGUAGAGGGAGGUAGAAUUCUAGGUGUAGCGGUGAAAUGCGUAGAUAUCUGGAGGAAUACCUGUGGCGAAAGCGGCCUCCUAAACGAAUACUGACACUGAGGUGCGAAAGCGUGGGGAGCAAACAGGGAUUAGAUACCCGU
rnacentral:rRNA from 1 species